rnacentral:rRNA from 1 species
GAUGAACGCUGGCGGCGUGCCUAAUACAUGCAAGUCGAGCGAACAGACGAGGAGCUUGCUCCUCUGACGUUAGCGGCGGACGGGUGAGUAACACGUGGAUAACCUACCUAUAAGACUGGGAUAACUUCGGGAAACCGGAGCUAAUACCGGAUAAUAUAUUGAACCGCAUGGUUCAAUAGUGAAAGACGGUUUUGCUGUCACUUAUAGAUGGAUCCGCGCCGCAUUAGCUAGUUGGUAAGGUAACGGCUUACCAAGGCAACGAUGCGUAGCCGACUGAGAGGGUGAUCGGCCACACUGGAACUGAGACACGGUCCAGACUCCUACGGGAGGCAGCAGUAGGGAAUCUUCCGCAAUGGGCGAAAGCCUGACGGAGCAACGCCGCGUGAGUGAUGAAGGUCUUCGGAUCGUAAAACUCUGUUAUUAGGGAAGAACAAAUGUGUAAGUAACUAUGCACGUCUUGACGGUACCUAAUCAGAAAGCCACGGCUAACUACGUG